AGCCAGAUGGCCUAGUGGUUUGAGUGUUGGACUACGACUCUGGAGGCCAGGGUUCAAAUCCUGGCUCAGCCA